UACGUAGGGGGCGAGCGUUGUCCGGAGUUAUUGGGCGUAAAGGGCAUGCAGGCGGUCGGACGCGUUUCGGGUGACAGCGGGUGGCUUAACUACCCGAGUGGUCGAAAGACGGUUUGACUUGAGGACGCGAGAGGGACACGGAAUUCCGGGUGGAGUGGUGAAAUGCGUAGAGAUCCGGAGGAACACCGAAGGCGAAGGCAGUGUCCUGGCGCGUAACUGACGCUGAGGUGCGAAAGCCAGGGGAGCGAACGGG
rnacentral:rRNA from 1 species